GCGGAGGAGCAUGUGGUUUAAUUCGAUGAUACGCGAGGAACCUUACCUGGGCUCGAACGUAAGAUGACUGGUAGGUGAAAGCUUACAUCUCUUCGGAGCAUUUUACGAGGUGCUGCAUGGUUGUCGUCAGCUCGUGCCGUGAGGUGUCGGGUUAAGUCCCAUAACGAGCGCAACCCCUACCUUUAGUUGCCAUCAGGUAAUGCUGGGGACUCUAAAGGAACUGCCUACGCAAGUAGUGAGGAAGGCGGGGAUGACGUCAAAUCAGCACGGCCCUUACGUCCAGGGCUACACACGUGCUACAAUGGCCGAUACAGAGGGCAGCUACCUGGUGACAGGAUGCAAAUCUCCAAAGUCGGUCUCAGUUCGGAUCGGAGUCUGCAACCCGACUCCGUGAAGUUGGAAUCGCUAGUAAUCGUGGAUCAGCCAAGCCGCGGUGAAUACGUUCCCGGGCCUU
rnacentral:rRNA from 1 species